GAGUAACGCGUGGGUAACCUGCCUCAUACAGGGGGAUAACAGUUAGAAAUGACUGCUAAUACCGCAUAAGCGCACAGGAUCGCAUGGUCUGGUGUGAAAAACUCCGGUGGUAUGAGAUGGACCCGCGUCUGAUUAGCUAGUUGGAGGGGUAACGGCCCACCAAGGCGACGAUCAGUAGCCGGCCUGAGAGGGUGAACGGCCACAUUGGGACUGAGACACGGCCCAGACUCCUACGGGAGGCAGCAUG
rnacentral:rRNA from 1 species